rnacentral:rRNA from 1 species
UACAGGGGGUGCAAACGUUGCUCGGAAUCAUUGGGCGUAAAGCGCACGUAGGCGGUCUGUCAUGUCGGAUGUGAAAGCCCUUGGCUCAACUGAGGAAGUGCAUCCGAAACUGGCAGGCUGGAGUACUAAAGAGGGUCGCGGAAUUCCCGGUGUAGAGGUGAAAUUCGUAGAUAUCGAGAGGAACACCGGUGGCGAAGGCGGCGACCUGGGUAGAUACUGACGCUGAGGUGCGAAAGCGUGGGGAGCAAACAGG